GACGAACGCUUGCGGCGUGCCUAAGAAAUGCAAGUCGAGCGGGGCAGCAAUGCCUAGCGGCGAACGGUCGCGUAACACGUAGGCAACCUGCCCGAAAGACCGGGACAACAUUCCGAAAGGGGUGCUAAUACCGGAUGUGGCCAGCGGGAGACAUCUCCUGCUGAUUAAAUCACUUGUGGCUUUCGGAGGGGCCCGCGGCCUAUCAGCUAGAUGGCGGGGUAACGGCUCACCAUGGCGACGACGGGUAGCUGGUCUGAGAGGACGAUCAGCCGGACUGGGACUGAGAUACGGCCCAGACUCCUACGGGGGGCAGCAAUUAGGAAUCUUGCGCAAUGGGCGAAAGCCUGACGCAGCGACGCCGCGUGGAGGAUGACGGCCUUCGGGUUGUAAACUCCUUUUAGGUGGGAAGAAAAAAAUGACGGUACCACCAGAAUAAGCCCCGGCUAACUACGUGCCAGCAGCCGCGGUAAUACGUAGGGGGCGAGCGUUGUCCGAAGUUACUGGGCGUAAAGAGUGCGUAGGCGGGUUACCAAGUCUGCUGUGAAAGCCCGGGGCUCAACCCCGGAGGGUCGGUGGAUACUGGUAGUCUUGAAGAUACUAGGGGGAGAUGGAAUUACAGGUGUAGCGGUGAAAUGCGUAGAUAUCUGUAGGAACACCAGUGGCGUAGGCGGUCUCCUGGGGCAUUCUUGACGCUGAGGCACGAAAGCUGGGGGAGCGAACGGGAUUAGAUACCCCGGUAGUCCCAGCCCUAAACGAUGGAUACUAGGUGUCAGGGGUAUCGACCCCUCUGGUGCCGCAGCUAACGCAGUAAGUAUCCCGCCUGGGGGGUACGGCCGCAAGGUUGAAACUCAAAGGAAUUGACGGGGGCCCGCACAAGCGGUGGAGCAUGUUGUUUAAUACGUCACUAACCGUAGAACCUUACCAGGGUUUGACAUCCACUGCCAUCCUAUGAAAGUAGGCUUACUCGCAAGAGUACAGUGAGACAGGUGUUGCAUGGCUGUCGUCAGCUCGUGUCGUGAGAUGUUGGGUUAAGUCCCGCAACGAGCGCAACCCUCAUCCCAUGUUGCCAUCGGGUAAAGCCGGGAACUCUUGGGAAACUGCCUGUGUAAGCAGGAGGAAGGUGAGGACGACGUCAAGUCAGCAUGGCCCUUACAUCCUGGGCUACAAACAUGCUACAAUGGACGGUAUACAAAGGGGCGCAAUACCGCGAGGUGGAGCCGAUCCCAAAAAUCCGUUCUCAGUUCGGAUCGCAGGCUGCAACUCGCCUGCGUGAAGCCGGAAUCGCUAGUAACCGCAGGUCAGCUAAACUGCGGUGAAUACGUUCCCGGGCCU
rnacentral:rRNA from 1 species